GGUAAAGGCCAAGAUGCUAUGAGAAUCUGUAACCCUGUCCGGCUGGUCAGGGAAAGCUGCCCUGAGGAAGUGACAUUUAAGAACUAAAUUAAAAAUACGGAGCUAGCUGGAGGUGGGGUGAGGAGGUAUCCCUGACAAAGGAAAGAGCACCCUUGAGCAAGGGCCACAGUGGGGAAUGUGCUUUCCAAGUUCCAGGAACUGAGAGAAGCCAAGAAUGGCUGGAUACAGCAAACCAAGAAAGAAAACAAGAGGAUAAAGCAUGAACAAAACCAACAGGUGGAAAUUGAGAGGCCCUCAAUGCACGUACUUCAAGUCAAUAGUUGACAAACCUUUGAGAUGCAGUCAAGGCACGAACAGAUUAGCCCAAAAAGAGUGUAUGACAAAACAGAAUUUUUGUUCUUCUCACAAGCUAUUGGAACUCAAAUACUGACCAGUCUUCACAAUACCAGCACUACAAUUUAUUGCAAAGGAUGUCUUCAAGAUGUAGCAAGAGAACAGCAAUCCGGGAAUCUACACCUUCAUACACGGAUCAAUUGAGAACACAAAUACAUGAGUCUUGAAGUCUCUUUUAGGAUCUGUCCCAGGAAAGAGCCAUGAAAAGCAUUCAGUAAAAGACAAACUUUAGGUAAAAAGCAAUGUCUGAGUCAGGUCCAGACUAACAGAUUGUAAGACUAAAACUCAGUAUAUGAGAAAUCAGCUACCCCCAACAUAGCUCAAAAUCUGACAA